rnacentral:rRNA from 1 species
GAUGAACGCUGGCGGCGUGCCUAAUACAUGCAAGUCGAGCGAACGGACGAGAAGCUUGCUUCUCUGAUGUUAGCGGCGGACGGGUGAGUAACACGUGGAUAACCUACCUAUAAGACUGGGAUAACUUCGGGAAACCGGAGCUAAUACCGGAUAAUAUUUUGAACCGCAUGAUUCAAAAGUGAAAGACGGUCUUGCUGUCACUUAUAGAUGGAUCCGCGCUGCAUUAGCUAGUUGGUAAGGUAACGGCUUACCAAGGCAACGAUGCAUAGCCGACCUGAGAGGGGGAUCGGCCACACUGGAACUGAGACACGGUCCAGACUCCUACGGGAGGCAGCAGUAGGGAAUCUUCCGCAAUGGGCGAAAGCCUGACGGAGCAACGCCGCGUGAGUGAUGAAGGUCUUCGGAUCGUAAAACUCUGUUAUUAGGGAAGAACAUAUGUGUAAGUAACUGUGCACAUCUUGACGGUACCUAAUCAGAAAGCCACGGCUAACUACGUG